AUGUUUACAAACUUAGAAAAAAAAUAAAAUGAAAUAAAAAAAACAUAUUGUAGAGAAAUAGAUAAUUUCCACAAACUUCAAAUAACGGUAUAUUUGAAUAUGAUUAAAUAAAGAUUUGUGUUUACUUUUGACGUCUUUUUUUAAUAAAAAGAAUCAUUCAUAGAGUGCACAAAGCAAGCUGGGAGUGAACAUGCGGCGAUUGUGUAAAUUCGUUCUCAAUUCAGCAUUAUAUAACUAAAAUCAUUUAAAGAUGCAAAUGAAACCUCAAAAUGUUGUAAUUAAAAAAUAAUUAAAAAUUAUAAUAAUAUGCGGCUUGUUUACGGCAUUUAGUUGCUGCCAAUUAAGAGUGAAAUGUAAUCUAUUAUGAGAGUCAAAUCUAUAAUGAGCUGGUAUUUUCUAGCAUGUGCUCAGAGCAACCAUAUCAUUUCUUCUGCUAAUAUCAUGAAUUAAAUACAAAGAUAAUUCGAGAAAACAAUGUGUUAAAAACAAAAAAUAAAAA
rnacentral:misc_RNA from 1 species